rnacentral:tRNA from 1 species
GUGUGGUGUAGUGGUUAUCACAUCUGUCUAACACACAGAAGGUCGGCGGUUCGAUCCCGCCCUAGAUCA